rnacentral:rRNA from 1 species
UACGGGAGGCAGCAGUAGGGAAUAUUGGGCAAUGGGCGAAAGCCUGACCCAGCAACGCCGCGUGAAGGAUGAAGGUCUUCGGAUUGUAAACUUCUUUGAUCAGGGACGAAACAAAUGACGGUACCUGAAGAACAAGCCACGGCUAACUACGUGCCAGCAGCCGCGGUAAU